CGCACAUUGGGUCUCCUCUCACGGCUGGAGUCUUUGUUUUGUCUUAGGGGUCUCCUCCCUAGGAAGCGAGGCUUGGUUGCCCUCUGGGUUAAAGGAGACGCUGGGUGCUCCGCCGCCUCCAGAUCCGCAGCCCCUUUUUUUGCUCCGGAGUGAUGUCCUGUCUCAGAAAGGUCCUGGGCAGUUUUUCACGUGGCCGGCUCUCCAGACAGUACACGCAGGAUAUGGGAUCAUCGAGAACUGACUGAGGACACUUUGGUCUCCUGAUACUGAGCUAACACAUCUUGCUGACAUGAAAUUGAGAAAUCUCAAGGCAACCUCCAGCACAUCAUGCUUACCAGGCAGAGCCAGAGAAGAUAGAAGGACACAGAAAAGGAGAACUGGAUUAGGUGUCAGAAGAGGUGGGUCCUAAUCUCAGCCCCUUUGUGCGACCUUAGACAAAUUCACGAACUUCUCUGGGCUUCCUGUCCACCGUCAUCUCUGGGACCUGUGAAUAUCCUACCUUCCAUGGCAAAAGGGACUGUACAGAUGUGAGUAAGGGUACCAACCUUAGGGUGAGGAGAGCAUCCUGCAUUAUCCAGGCAAGCCCAACAUAAUGGAUGAGUCCUUAAAAGUGAAGAAUCUAUCCUGGUGCAGUAAGAAAGAGAGAUGUGAUCGUGGAAGAAGGGUCAGAGAGAUACGACAUUGCUGGGUUUUAAGCUGGAGGAAGGGGGCUGCAUGCCAAGAAAUGCGGGUGGACUCUAGAAACUGAAACAAACUCUAGAAAGUCCUUAGGACUUUCAGAAAGGAAGGUAGGUCUGCCAGCAGUUUGCUUUUAGCCCAGUGAGCUUUUUGCUGGACUCCUGGCUUAUGGAAAUGUAGGAUAAUAAUACAUGUGUGUUGUUCUAAACUGCCAAGUUUGUAGUGAUUUGCUGCCGGAGCCAUAGAGAAUGUAUGCAAGCC